rnacentral:rRNA from 1 species
GACGAACGCUGGCGGCGUGCUUAACACAUGCAAGUCGAACGGAAAGGCCCUGCUUUUGUGGGGUGCUCGAGUGGCGAACGGGUGAGUAACACGUGAGUAACCUGCCCUUGACUUUGGGAUAACUUCAGGAAACUGGGGCUAAUACCGGAUAGGAGCUCCUGCUGCAUGGUGGUGGUUGGAAAGUUUCGGCGGUUGGGGAUGGACUCGCGGCUUAUCAGCUUGUUGGUGGGGUAGUGGAUUACCAAGGCUUCGACGGGUAGCCGGCAUGAGAGGGUGACCGGCCACAUUGGGACUGAGAGACGGCCCAGACUCCUACGGGAGGCAGCGGUGGGGAAUAUUGCACAAUGGGCGGAAGCCUGAUGCGGAAACGCCGCGUGCGGGAUGACGGCCUUCGGGUUGUAAACCGCUUUCGCCUGUGACGAAGCGUGAGUGACGGUAAUGGGUAAAGAAGCACCGGCUAACUACGUG